rnacentral:rRNA from 1 species
UACGGAGGGGGCUAGCGUUAUUCGGAAUCACUGGGCGUAAAGGGCGCGUAGGUGGUUAGAUGCGCCGGUGGUGAAAGCGCAGGGCUCAACCCUGCGUCGGCCAUCGGGACGGUCUGACUGGAGCACUGUAGAGGCAGGUGGAAUUCCGGGUGUAGCGGUGGAAUGCGUAGAGAUCCGGAAGAACACCGGUGGCAAAGGCGGCCUGCUGGCAGUUGCUGACACUGAGGCGCGACAGCGUGGGGAGCAAACAGG